rnacentral:tRNA from 1 species
AGCUGCUGGUGCAGCGCCGCGGUGCCGGCGUUGAUGGCGCCGCCGAACAGGUUCGGGUCGCCCUGUUCCAGGUCGCCGGGUAGCUGC